rnacentral:lncRNA from 1 species
AAACGGGCUGCUGGACUUCAACUGACACGUUUCCUUCUCCACAUGAAGUUUCCUCCUCACUGCCCCACGUCUACAUCGCUCAGGUUCAGCUAACUAUCCUCUCAGUGCUGAUGCAGGUUGGACUCAGUCUGUUGUUUCCAGUAAAGACCAGAGGGAGGGGGUGAAUGGGGGGGGGAGAGAGAGAAAGUCUGGGUUUGUUUCUGCGACCAUGGCAGACGACGGUGACCUGGGCGUCGCUUUGGAUAACAUGAGAAGUGAGUAAAAAAGGCACAAAACCAAAUAUAUCUAUAGAUAUACAGUAUCUCUAUGUAUUGUGAUGGUUUUACAGUAAGCACCAGUGAGGAUGUGAAUAUAAGCUGUGAGACAGAGAUCACCACCUCUCAUCAGGAUAAAGAAGAACAACCAGAGAUGAAGCUGCACUCUUUUCCACUUCCUCUUUUUCACCUCCAGACUUCCUCUCUUCCCUCAGCCCAGCCUCCAUCAGAUGAGGUCUACCUGCAGGCAGCAGCUAUUUUCCAACAGCUGCAAACAGAAAAGCCAGUCAAAAAUCAACUUCUGCAUUAUGGGAAAAACACAGAGUCGCCUCCACUGGGAAAUGAAGACAAACCAGGAGAAGAAGAGGCCUAUCAGCU